AGAGUUUGAUCCUGGCUCAGAACGAACGUUGGCGGCGUGGAUUAGGCAUGCAAGUCGUGGGCGAAAGGGGCCUUCGGGCCCUGAGUAGACCGGCGAACGGGGCAGUAAUGCGUGGGUAACCAACCCCCCGGAUGGGGAUAACCCCUGGAAACGGGGGCUAAUACCCAGCGGUCUCCUUGGAGCGGAGGCUUCGAGGAGUAAAGGGUGCGAAUCCGCCGGGGGACGGGCUCACGUGGUACCAGCUAGUUGGUGAGGUAAUGGCUCACCAAGGCUGCGACGCCUAGCGGGUGUUAGCGCAUGGCCCGCGCCACUGGGACUGAGACACUGCCCAGACACCUACGGGUGGCUGCAGUCGAGAAUCUUCGGCAAUGCCCGCAAGGGUGACCGAGCGACGCCGCGUGGGGGAAGAAGGCCUUCGGGUUGUAAACCCCUGUCAGGAGGGCGGAAAGGCCUGGGGGAUCUCCUUCAGGCGUUUGACCUCCCUCCAGAGGAAGCACGGGCUAAGUUCGUGCCAGCAGCCGCGGUAAGACGGACCGUGCGAACGUUGUUCGGAAUUACUGGGCUUAAAGGGCGCGUAGGCGGCUGGCUAAGUCGGUGGUGAAAGCCCUCGGCUCAACCGAGGAAGUGCCACCGAUACUGGCUGGCUUGAGGUGGGUAGAGGUGCGUGGAACUACCGGUGUAGCGGUGAAAUGCGUUGAUAUCGGUAGGAACGCCGGUGGCGAAGGCGGCGCACUGGGCCCAACCUGACGCUGAGGCGCGAAAGCCAGGGGAGCAAACCGGAUUAGAUACCCGGGUAGUCCUGGCUGUAAACGAUGGGCACUAGAGGGCAGAUGCUGUCGAGGCGUUUGCUCUCGUAGCGAAAGCGUUAAGUGCCCCGCCUGGGGAGUAUGGCCGCAAGGCUGAAACUCAAAGGAAUUGACGGGGGCUCGCACAAGCGGUGGAGCAUGUGGCUUAAUUCGAGGCUACGCGAAGAACCUUAUCCUGGGCUUGACAUGCACGGAUGCCCGCCGGGAAACCGGAGAGGGCUGCCCCGCAAGGGGUGAAACGUGCACAGCUGCUGCAUGGCUGUCGUCAGCUCGUGUCGU
rnacentral:rRNA from 1 species